rnacentral:rRNA from 1 species
UAGUCCACGCCGUAAACGAUGAUAACUAGAGGUUGGUGGUAUUGACCCGUCAGUCUCGGAGCACACGCAUUAAGUUAUCCGCCUGGGGAGUACGGCCGCAAGGCUAAAAACUCAAAGGGAAUUGACGGGGGCCCGCACAAGCGGUGGAGUAUGUGGUUUAAUUCGAAGCAACGCGCAGAACCUUACCUGGGCUUGACAUGUCCGGUAUGCCUUAGAGAUAAGGCGGACCUCGCAAAGAGGACCGGAACACAGGUGCUGCAUGGCUGUCGUCAGCUCGUGUCGUGAGAUGUUGGGUUAAGUCCCGCAACGAGCGCAACCCUUGUCCUUAGUUACCAGCAUUAGGUUGGGGACUCUAAGGAGACUGCCGGUGAUAAACCGGAGGAAGGUGGGGAUGACGUCAAGUCCUCAUGGCCCUUACGUCCAGGGCUACGACACGUACUACAAUGGCGAAGACAGACCGAAGCGAAGCCGCGAGGUGGAGCGAAUCGGCAAAACAAUCGUCUCAGUCCGGAUUGCAGU